AUUGAACGCUGGCGGCAUGCUUUACACAUGCAAGUCGAACGGCAGCACGAGUGCUUGCACUUGGUGGCGAGUGGCGAACGGGUGAGUAAUACAUCGGAACGUGUCCUAAAGUGGGGGAUAACGCAUCGAAAGAUGUGCUAAUACCGCAUAAUCUCUCCGGAGAAAAGUAGGGGAUCGAAAGACCUUGCGCUUUUGGAGCGGCCGAUGUCUGAUUAGCUAGUUGGUAGGGUAAAGGCCUACCAAGGCGACGAUCAGUAGUUGGUCUGAGAGGAUGGCCAGCCACACUGGGACUGAGACACGGCCCAGACUCCUACGGGAGGCAGCAGUGGGGAAUUUUGGACAAUGGGCGCAAGCCUGAUCCAGCAAUGCCGCGUGAGUGAAGAAGGCCUUCGGGUUGUAAAGCUCUUUCAGUUGAGAAGAAAAAAACGUGAAUAAUACGCACGUUUCAUGACGGUAUCAACAGAAGAAGCACCGGCUAACUACGUGCCAGCCGCCGCGGUAACAC
rnacentral:rRNA from 1 species